AUACGUAUACACAUAUGCACAUAUGUGUAUAUAUGUAUAUAUGCACAUAUGUGUAUAUAUGUAUGUACAUAUA
rnacentral:pre_miRNA from 1 species